CCGUCCGCCGAAAACAUAAGGGUUCCAGGGUAAAGGCAAUCUGCCCUGGGUAAGUCGGCCCCUAAGGCCAGGUCGAAAGACGUAGCCGAUGGGAAAUCGGUUUAUAAUCCGAUACCUUUGGGAGUGAGACUGCCGGCGCUAAGGUUUGUAGUCAAGAGGGAAACAGCCCGGACCAUCGGCUAAGGUCCCGAAAUUAUGCUAAGUGUUAAAUGAAGUGUGGAUGCACAGACAGCCAGGAGGUUGGCUUAGAAGCAGCCAUUCCUUAAAAGAGUGCGUACCAGCUCACUGGUCGGGCAUUCAGGCGCAGACAAUGUAACGGGGCUAAGCAUAAUACCGAAGCCAUGGACUCAUAUUUUAAGGAUAUGAUUGGUAGGGGAGCAUUCCAUUAACUGAAGAAGGAAUACCCGCGAGGGGUUCUGGAGGAGAUGGAAGAGAGAAUGCAGGUAUAAGUAACGAAAAGACGGGUGGGAUUCCCGUCCGCCGAAAACAUAAGGGUUCCAGGGUAAAGGCAAUCUGCCCUGGGUAAGUCGGCCCCUAAGGCCAGGUCGAAAGACGUAGCCGAUGGGAAAUCGGUUUAUAAUCCGAUACCUUCCACAGUUUCGAGGACAGGACGCAUGAGGUGAAAUCCGGCCGGAGAACGGUUGUUCCGGUCAAAGCGCCGAGCUGAUGAGGGCCGCAGGCAAAUCCGCGGUCUGAGGUGAGGCGUUACAGCGAGCGGAGAGAAAGUCGAAGCGAAGCGGAUGUAGUCAGGGUGCCGGGAAAUACUGUCUAAGGCUAGGCUGUGGAGGACCGUACCGUAAACGGACACACGUAUGUGGGAUGAGAAAUCUAAGGCGCACGAGCGACCUCGCGUUAAGGAACUCGGCAAAAUGCACACGUAACUUCGGAAGAAGUGUGGCUCUGAUUGUAUAAGAUUAAGAGCGGCAGAAAGCAGGCUCAGGCGACUGUUUAUCAAA
rnacentral:rRNA from 1 species